rnacentral:rRNA from 1 species
UACGUAGGGUGCAAGCGUUGUUCGGAAUUACUGGGCGUAAAGGGCUCGUAGGCGGCCAACUAAGUCAGACGUGAAAUCCCUCGGCUUAACCGGGGAACUGCAUCUGAUACUGCCGGACUAGAGUUCGGAAGAGGCGAGUGGAAUUCCCGGUGUAGCGGUGAAAUGCGCAGAUAUCAGGAGGAACACCGGUGGCGAAGGCGGGUCUCUGGGCAGUAACUGACGCUGAGGAGCGAAAGCGUGGGGAGCGAACAGG